rnacentral:rRNA from 1 species
GACGAACGCUGGCGGCGUGCUUAACACAUGCAAGUCGAACGGAAAGGCCUCUUUCGGGGGGUACUCGAGUGGCGAACGGGUGAGUAACACGUGAGUAACUUGCCCUUGACUUUGGGAUAACUUCAGGAAACUGGGGCUAAUACCCGAUAGGAGCUCCUGCUGCAUGGUGGGGGUUGGAAAGUUUCGGCGGUUGGGGAUGGACUCGCGGCUUAUCAGCUUGUUGGUGGGGUAGUGGGUUACCAAGGCUUUGACGGGUAGCCGGCCUGAGAGGGUGACCGGCGACAUUGAGACUGAGAUGAGGCCCAGACGCCUACGGGAGGAAGCAGUGGGGAAUAUUGCACAAAGGGUGGAAGCCUGAUGCAGCAACGCCGUGUGCGGGAGGACGGCCUUCGGGUUGUAAACCGCUUUCGAUCAUGACGAAGCUUUGUGUGACGGUAGUGGGUGAAGAAGCACCGGCUAACUACGUG